CCUACGGGAGGCAGCAGUGAGGAAUAUUGGUCAAUGGACGCGAGCCUGAACCAGCCAAGCCGCGUGAGGGAUGACGGUUCUAUGGAUCGUAAACCUCUUUUGUAAGGGAAUAAAGUGAGGGACGUGUCCUCUUUUGAAUGUACCUUACGAAUAAGGAUCGGCUAACUCCGUGCCAGCAGCCGCGGUAAUACGGAGGAUCCGAGCGUUAUCCGGCUUUAUUGGGUUUAAAGGGUGCGUAGGCGGCCUGUUAAGUCAGAGGUGAAAGCCCGUGGCUCAACCAUGGAAUUGCCGCUGAAACUGGUGGGCUUGAGUAGGUUUGAGGCAGGCGGAAUGCGUGGUGUAGCGGUGAAAUGCUUAGAGAUCACGCAGAACACCGAUUGCGAAGGCAGCCUGCCAAGCCAUGACUGACGCUGAGGCACGAAAGCGUGGGGAUCAAACAGGAUUAGAUACCCGGGUAGUC
rnacentral:rRNA from 1 species